CCCAUGCAUGCUAGGCAAGCACCACCACUGAGCCCCAGCCCAGCCCUCCAUGACGUCAAUGCUACAGGAGGACGGUGACCUUGGAGUAACAGUAGAAGAGUGUCCACAGCCAGUGAAGGCGUCUUCCGGUCGAGAGCAACAGGACGGCCCCCGCGAGGGAGUCGGCAGCGACAGGUGGCCUGCGGAGCAGCAGCGUGGAAAGCCGCCGGGCAGUGUGGUGCCAGGGUCUCGCUAAGUUGCUGAGGCUGGUUUGAACCUUCGAUCCUCCUGCCCCCACUUCCCCAGCUGCUGGGAUUGCAGUGUGCGUCACACGCCUGGAAGAAGCCAGAGAGAGAAGGCCCCACUUUGGAGCAUUCCACAUGCAGGAGACGCACAGAAAAAGUACACCCAGAGGUGUAAUGCGGAACACAGGCCCCCGGCUGGGGAGGCGACGAGGAGUGAGUGCAGGUGGCAGACGGUCUCCUGGCCAUGAGGAAGAUGGCGCAGAGCUGGACGGAGGCCAUGGACGUACUGGACCACUGAAUCGUGGGCUUUGAAACGGUUCAUUUGAUGUUAUAUGAAUUUCAGCUCAAAAAAAAAAAAAAGUCUCACCACAACCACCACCACACCAGGCAGACUUAAA